GAUUUUAACUUUACUUUCGUUUUCUCAUAUUUUCGGAAAACCUGGUUAUAAAUAACUGACAUAUUUACUUUACUUUCGUUUUCGUAUUUUCGGAAAACCUGGUUAUAAAUAACUGACGUAUUUUCUGAAAAUGUUAUAUGGGAUUUACGUGACAUUUUCUGAAAAUGGUUAUGAACGGUUGUUAAGUUACGUGUAAACAAAUAUAACGUAUUUCGCAACACAAACGUAAUUGAUUAACACCAAAACCUUCUUUGCUAGCAUAAAAAAGUUGCAUGAAAGUAAAUAACUUUAUACUGCUAACUUAUACCUACAACAACAGAACAGAAAGGAGUUUUAAAGGACUAUAAUGAGUAUUCAAGAGUUUUACCGAGAUAUCGAUGGUCUGACUGUAUAUUUAAGAGAAAAAUACCCCAAUGACCACGAAAUACAGAAAUGGAAUAAUUCAUAUUGCAAACAAUAUUACGAACUUCUUAACCAAUACGUUUGGGAACCGAACGAAUUACAAAAACUUAGGGAAGACAACGAACAUUUAAAACAAGAUAUAAUAAAAUUACAACAUCAAUUGGCAUCGAAAAAAACAACAACACGCACUACAAGAAAAACCAGAUACAAUGAAGUAAAAAAGAAAUUGGAAGAAUCCUUCUCAGAUGAACGAAAAAUAACCGACGAAUUUACCCGCGACCCCUCAACUUCAGAUGAAUGUGUCGAAUGUUUAGAAAUGCUGGAUAAAUUGAUACGCUCAGAUACAAGAAAUAUAGUUUUAAAUUCAUGUCAAAAAGGAAAAGUUUUAAAAAAGUUUAAAAUGUUAACAAAAAGGGGAAAAAAAAGGAUUCAUGGUAACACUUAAAAAUUAUAAUUUUAAUUAUUCAUUAUCACAUUGCAACUUUUUAAUACGUUUGUAUGAUUUUGCAUGAAAUAUAAUGACAUUUUAAAAUAUGCUGUAUCUAUUGAAUAUAUUUACAAAAAAUUUACAACUAUUAAACAAGUAUUACAAGAUUUAAGUACAAACAACUGAAAUCACUCAACCGUUUGAGUAUGCCAUAGGCAUACGCAUGAUUGAAUAUCAUAAUACUUUUAUGUUGUGAAAAUCACUCAACCGUUUGAGUAUGCCAUAGGCAUAUGCAUGAUUGAACAUACGCUUUUGAGAGUAGUAUGGAAUAUAACGUUUAUGGUACAUUUUUGUUAGUAGUAAAGAAUAUUAUGUUCUUGAUACAUUUUAACUCAUUUUAUUAAAAUAAUUUAUCAUUGUU